UCCCAUAUGGUCUAGCGGUUAGGAUUCCUGGUUUCCUGGUUUCCCUGGUUCGACUCCCGGUAUGGGAA
rnacentral:tRNA from 1 species